CUGGCUGCGCUGACAGCUGGUCCAGGGCUGAGCCCGGGAGGACGCUGAGAAUAUGCAGGAGUGAGGGAGCAGGAAGCCAAGGUGAGAGGCCACAGAAACAGGCUUGGCCUCCUCCCCGAACUCCUCCCCACAAACACAAACCUGAAAGAGACACUGCGGAGAAAGAGGAAGCCAGUCAGUGUGGGGUCAGGAGAACGCCUCUCAGACCGAGACUCCAGUCCCAGCUAUGGUGGACGGUAAAAGGCAAGAAAUGCUCCUCCGCUGCUCCUCCCACGCUGAGGGGUGGUCUGUUUCCCUCUCCCGAAUCUGACCUACCCUUGUUUUUGUUUGAGCAGUAGAACGCAGCAGGAGUGGCGCUGUGUGAGUUCUAAGGCUGGGCCUCAGGAGGCCUGCAGCGAGGCCAAGACAGGCAGAUUGUCCAGCACUUUGGGAGGCCAAGACAGGCAGAUAGCUUGAGCUCAGGAGUCCAAGACCCACCUGGACAACAUAGUGAGACACCGUCAAAAAAAAAAUAGCCGGGUGUGGUGGUGCACGCCUGUAGUCCCAGCUACUCAGGAGGCUGAGGUGGGAGGAUCACUUGAGCCCAGGAGGUUGAGGCUGCAGGGAGAUGUGAAUGCCCUGCUGUACUCCAGCUGGGGUGACAGAGCAAGACCCUAUGGCAAAAAAUGAAAAGAUCCACAUAAUAAGCACGGAGUAAAAAACAGAUCAUUUUUCCCAGGUCGCCAUUAUCACCACCACUACCAUCAUCAUUGACGCUCUCAGUGCCAUCACCAUCAUCAUCACCAUCAUCACCACCAUUGUGCUUUGUGACCACAGAACACUGGCUGAGCCUCUCUGGGCCCAGGAAAGCGGUGCCUUCCAAAGUGGGCUGGACCCUCAGCAGUGGAGAUGAAAUGCAGAAAGCCGUCUUCCCUCUCUCGUUAGCCCUCCUCCACAAGGGCCAGUGCAGACAAGAGUCUUCCCAGGACCAGGCACCCACUUCCCAUGGCUGCCUCAUGGCUCUGUCCCCCCGUCCCUGCCCUCCAAGGAAGCCCCUGGGGCAGGGGGUACAGGAAAGCAUGAAGGAAGUUUCUAUCUGGCAGGAAUGUACUGUGUGCCUGACACAACCUGUGGUCAUCACAGCAUCCCCAUAAGGUCAGUGGCACGCUCCCAUCUUACAGAUGGACAAACUAAAG
rnacentral:lncRNA from 13 species